rnacentral:lncRNA from 1 species
UUCUCAUUUAUAGAACCCUAGAUGCAAAUUCCUCUAGCUCAAAAUAUAGCUGCUCGCACACAAAAUAGAAAACAACAUCACAACUCGCAAGCCUUUCUGAACGGCAACCUAAGCACAUAGGUACUUAUUUCUUUUGAAUUUACUAGUCGAUUAUUGUUUUGAGACAAAUUGAUCAAUUUUGGUUGUUAACAGGUCAAGCCCAAUCGAUUUGGAUACAAUUAUUCAAUGUUCUAUAAUAUUUUUUUAUGAAACAAAUUGGUCAAUUUUUGGUUGUUAAGGUGUCAAGCUCAAUCAAAUUAGCACAAAUAUGAUAAUUAUUAUUAUUAUCUUUAUUUGUUAAUUUUAAUAACAUAAUGACAAUUUUCAUGUCUUAAAACUUUUCCUUACAUCUUAAAACUUUUCCUUACAGAUGCAAGCAAAUUCAUUUAGUAAUGCUAGAGGAGGUAAUAUCUCUGCACCUCCAAGAACUCAAAGUGUUACUAAUACACAAAUGAGCUAGAGAAGAGGAGGGAGAGUUUCAAAAGUAUGGGAACAUUACGCAAAAAUUGAGAAUGAUACAAAAUGUAAGUCUGACUACUGAUAUAAAGUGUAUGUGUAUCAUUCUAGACUUAUUGGGAUUCGUACUUCAUCAAAUCACUUGUUAAUAUGUACAGUCUAUGUUGAUAUGAAAUUUGAUUCAAAACAAAAUCCCUUUGUUUUUUAGGAUAACAUGACCAAUGGUAGCGGUAGUCUUUUGGCAAUGUCUUGUAGCAAAAAAGAACUUAGAAAAGCAUGCAUUGAAAUGAUCAUUGAUGAAUUGACUUUUAGUUUUAUUGAGAAAGAAGGGUUUUAGAAACCUAUAAGUAAAGCAUGUCCAAAACUUGAUCAUUUUUCUAGGAGAAUUGUUGCUAGAGAUAUGUAUCCAUUGCACUUUGGGUAUAUAGAAUAUGGUAGCAUACCAACUGUUUGAUUAUUUGUGUGAAAGAAAUAUAUUCAGUUUGCUUUCUUUGAUACUGAAAUCAUUUGCUAGCACACACACAUAAUUUAAAUGCUAAGUUUAAUUUUAUUAUCAUUUUUUUAAUAUAAGGAUUUGGUUUUAUUAUCAUUUUUUUAAUAUAACGAUUUGUCUUUUACUUAUAAGGGCACAUGAGUUCAAGAGGAAGAAGUUGAAGAACUUUUUUUAAAGUUAAAAUUUCUUUUCUUUUAUCAAAUUUUCAAUCAAUUUGUUUUAGUUGUACAUUUUUCAUUUUGUCGAAAUAUAACUUCUUCAUUGUUUAAGUGUUGUGUAUGCAUUGGCUUCAAAUUUUAUGGAUUGCCACUUGAUAAUUUGACAGUACAAAUUCUUGUAUUCAUAAUUGUAUUUCAUGAAUGGAAGAGAUAUUGUUUAUGAUAUAUGUAAAGUUGGAAUUGUUUGAUUUUUUAAUUUUAUUGAUUGUCAUUUGACUGAAAUUGUUCACCAGAAUAUUCAUUUGCAUAACAUUUGUUAAAGCUAGCUAUCAACUCAUAAUUUAUUGGCAAAUGCAAUAGCUCGUCUUUGGUUAAAAUAGAAAAGUGGUAAAAGCUAUUAAAUCUAUCUAUGAUGGCAAACAUUUUCAGCUUUAUAAUUUUUUCAAUGGCAUAGAUAACAGAAUCAUAUUAAUGUCGUAAAAAGUAUGUGAUUUUUAACAGCUUGUGGAUCAAAAGCAUGUCAAUUUAUGCCAUUACAUUCCUUUAACGACAUAUAUUCUUAACUGUUAAAAGCCUAUUUUGUUGUUUAAAUGACAACCAAUCAGCCUAAUAAAUGGCCUACACCCUUCCUUGAAGCCAUAUCUAAGACAUAUAAAGCUCACCAUGAACCUUUGGAAUUUGCAUUUAUCUGCCAGUUUUUUUUGUUACUUUAAGCAAUGUUAAAGCCUUUAGCAUCUGUUUUUUUAAUGAUGUGAGCAAAAUUUCAAAGUUGUCUAAAGAUUUUAACAUGAUCUCCCGCAGUAACGGACUCAAAUAUCUUUUUUUUUUUGCUCUGUAAACUUCCUAGAGAUCUACCUCUACUUCAUACAUUGUCUUAAGAUCAUCAAUGAGACUACCUACAGCAGUCUUUGGAUCAUCUGUCACUUUAUUCUUCCUUACAAUCUAACCAACAGUAAGCUUUGGAUUUUUGACAAGAUCCUCACAAGUAUUUAUGAUGUGUAAGGUUGUGAUCUAAAAACAUUGUCCAAAUCUCCAAAGUAGUACAUGUUCUUUGAAGAGGCGCCUGUCUAUAUAAUAUAUACAUACAACUCUUCUUCUUUUAAACUUAGUUCUUCUUCCUUUGAAAUUUUGUUGUAUACAGAAAUCCUUCAGAGCCCACGCAAAAGAUUGAAAAUUUUUUAACACUUGUCCAACUUUGAAUUCAAUAGGUUCUAUUCCAUCUACAAGCAUUUGACGACCCAACAAAUGGACAUUUUAAUAAAAGGAUGCUCUUUUCUAAUUUUGACGUUAGCCCAUAAUCUCCAUUGUCACUUCCAUAUCCAUCUAAUAAGUCAUCAUUUGCAUCAUGCUCAUCCCAAUGAUAUUAAGUUUCUUGUUCUCCAGAUUCUCCAUCAUCAAUAUCAUCUUCUGAUUUAGAAAAUGCAUAUAAAUCAUCCUUCGCUUUUGAUAACUCAUCAUCAUGACAAACAAUUUGUGAUGAUGAACUUGCACCAUCAUCUAUAUUCAUGCUUGACUUCCUCUUCUUCGUUGUCUUGGGCCUCCUCAUUACAUGCUCUAAAUCUAUAGCAUUUCUCUUUCUUGUUUUAUUUGCUUUCUUAUUUUAAACCAUCUUUAAAAUAAUUGCAUAUUGCUUUUUACUUGCUUGUCUCUCAGAAGCCCUUAUUUGACAAAUGUAGACUUCUUUUUUGUUAGCUUCUUUUUGUGAACCUUUGAUUGUAUUCCUUAAAGAUAAUGGCUGCUUUGCCUUUCUUAUAAAAGAUUCUAGUUGGUCAACUUGUGAUGAAAAGUCUUGUGUAGGCUGCAUGACUUUUUUUAUUGGAGAUUCUUUAGAGAUAGCAUCCUUUGAAAAUGGUUGCGAGGGACAAUCAUUGAAAAAUUGGGAUAAUGAUGGAUUAACUACCUCUUUAUCAAUGUCAAUGUCAUCUCAAUCAUUCACUAUAUGAAACUUAGAGAAGUCACCAGUAAUUGACACUAAAAAGUAUACAUUUAAUAAGGUUAAAAUUAUCAAUUUUUCAUUUACAGUAUUGAUUAAUGCACUCAUAACUUAUAAAUUAUCUUAAUGCUCUCCAAAUAAAUUUUUAUGUUAAAUUAAUUUGUAGCAUGUUAAUUUUAUAUUAAUUUUUAUAUUGGAAAUAUGUCAGGAAUAUAUAGGGAAUUGGAACCAAAAGCGGGAAACAAAGAAGAUAAAUUAUCGGGGCCAUUUGGAAUGCAUUAUUGAGGAAAUGUAAUAAAUAAAUAAAUAGGGAAGCGAGCCAUGUAUUAUUGUGAUAGUCAAGUGCCACUUUGCCACUUGCCUGUCACUCGUUUCUAUGUAAAUAGAUAAGUAAUAAUAAUAAUAAUAAUAAAAUAAAAGAAGGUGGAGAUGUUUGUUGGCUAAAAAAGACGAGAAGAAGAAAAAUGAGGGACACAGAGAGAAGAUGAGAAAGGAGUUGAAGAUUGAGGCUUAAAAUGAUUUCUUCUUUUAUGUAGUUAGUUUUCUUAUAAUAUAUUUGAGAAGUUUGUUAAAUAAAAUAAGUGUUUCGUAUAUAUCAUAUGAGUUGUUAAUUUUCUAAGCUAAGGUGAAAGGUGAAGCUCAAUGAUUCAAAUUAUU